UUAUAUAUUUAUGAUACAGAAAAUGAGGUAACAAAUAGAAUGAAUGUUAUCAGGUGUGUACUUAUUUUAUUUAUGCUUUAUGUAAGAUUAAUUAUAACUGUAGUAAUUAAACACUAUUAUCAACAUAUUACUAUUCACUUUGUAGUAGCGGUGAAAGCAACAAUCAAAUCCAUGCUCAAAUUGUCACCGAACUGAAGGAAAUGCUUGAUAAACAUAAUGUUCUUGCAAAGAGUUUUCGUAUGGUUAGAGAUAGAUUUCAAGCUGAACAAAGUACAAAUGUUAAACUAAGACUUAUCGGAAGAAGAGGAUCAGAUGGAAGAGGAUAUAACUUGCCAUCAGUUUCAGAGGUAGCAGCUUUGGUUGUUGGCGAUUUUGAACCAACAAAUACUGACAGAGAUAUAAUAAUCGAAAGUCAAAAUGGACAACUUCAGAGAAUAAAUGAGCUUAAUGCAGCAUAUUUAGGUUUGCAAUAUCCAUUACUACUACCUUAUGGGGAAGAUGGUUAUAGAGAAGAUAUUCCUUUAAAUAGAAUUGAUGAAUCAAGUAAGGGAAGAAAACGUGUUAGUUCUUGCGAAUAUUUUGCAUAUAAAAUUCAAGAAAGGAAGAAUGAAGUACCUACAAUUGUUUCAGCUAAAAGAUUAUUUCAACAAUUCUUGGUUGAUGGAUAUACAAUGAUUGAAUCUUCUCGCUUAUUGUUUUAUAGACUAAAUCAAAGAAAUUUGAGAACACAUUUAUAUAAAGGAUUACAAGAAGCAGUUUUGCAUGGAGACACAGAACCAUCUUCUCAAGGACAAAGAAUUAUAUUGUCUUCUACUUUCACUGGUGGAACACGUUAAAUGUUGCAAAAUUAUCAAGAUGCAAUGGCAAUAUGUAAAUGGGCUGGAUAUCCUGAUUUAUUCAUUACAUUUACAUGCAAUCCCAAAUGGCCUGAAAUUAAGAGAUUUGUGCAUAGUAGGGGAUUGCAUCCAGAAGAUCGCCCAGACAUUAUAACAAGAGUCUUUAAAAUCAAAUUGGAUCAUUUGAUAAAAGAUUUAAGAGACAAUAAAGUUUUUGGAGAAGUAAAAGCGGGUAUGAACUUUAUUUUGCUUUAUUUUAUUAUAUUACAUUUUCAAGUUAAUAUAAUUUGUUUUAUUUAAAUAAAAUCAUAAAUUACAAAUAAUAUUUUGUUUUCUCUUCAUAUAGUGAUUUACACUAUUGAAUUUCAAAAGCGUGGAUUGCCUCAUGCACAUAUCUUACUUUUUCUCCAUGAUAAAUUUCCAAAUGUUGGAGACAUUGAUGCGAUUAUUUCAGCUGAAUUGCCUGAUAAAUUACUUGAUCCGGAUUAUUAUGUGGUUGUUACAAACUUCAUGAUGCAUGGGCCAUGUGGUUCAAUAAGGAAAUCAUCCCCUUGCAUGCAAAAAGGCAAAUGUACAAAGCACUUUCCAAAAAGAUUUUUACCAUCUACCUCACUUGAUGAAGAAGGAUAUCCUUUAUAUCGAAGAAGAGAUGAUGGUAGAUCUACACAGAGAUCAGGUAUUGAUUUAGAUAAUCGAUAUGUUGUACCACAUAAUAAUUUUUUGCUAAUGAAAUAUGGGGCACAUAUUAAUGUUGAAUGGUGCAAUCAAUCAAGAUCGAUUAAAUACUUAUUUAAGUAUGUUAAUAAAGGUCAUGAUCGAGUCACAGUAGCUUUUUGCGAUAGUGUUAAUUCUUCAGAUUCAAAGGUUGUUGAUGAAAUAAAAAUGUAUUGUGAUUGUCGCUAUAUAUCAUCCUGUGAAGCAGCUUGGAGAAUUUUCAAAUUCCCAAUCAACCAUAGAGAACCUUUUGUAGAAAGGUUAUCUUUUCAUCUACCAGACAAUCAAAAUGUCAUAUUUUCAGAUGAUGAUCCAAUUGAUGUUGUUAUCAAUAAACCAACAGUGAAGGAAUCAAUGUUUUUAAGAUGGUUGGAAGCUAAUAAGGAAUUUCCUGAAGCAAGACAUCUAACGUAUGCAGAAUUUCCUUUAAAGUUUGUUUGGAAGCAACAAUCUAAGAGAUGGGAAAAAAGGAAAACUUCAGCAUUUUCUAUUGGAAGAAUUUUCUUUGUUCCACCAGGAUCAGGUGAGCAAUAUUACCUUAGAUUGCUAUUGAAUGUUGUUAAAGGUCCAACUUCUUAUGAGGAAAUCAGAAGAAUAAAUGAUAUUUAUCAUGAGACCUUUAGAGAUGCAUGUUAUGCUCUAGGAUUAUUAGAUGAUGACAAAGAAUAUGUUGAUGCUAUAGUAGAAGCAAGUCAAUGGGGAAUGCCAUCAUAUCUACGACAAUUAUUUGCUAUGCUACUUAUAUCUAAUUCAAUGUCACGUCCGGAGAUAGUGUGGCAAUCAACUUGGCACUUACUAUCAGAAGAUAUCGUUUUUGAAGAAAGAAGAAUAUUAGAUAACCCAGGUAUUUAAUAAUGUUUACACUUGACACUAAUCAUAUAUAAUCUUUUUUUUUUCUUUUUCUUAUUAUUUAUUAUUAUUUUACUUUUAAAAUUUUUUAAUAAUUAGUAAAUUAGAAUUAGAUUAUUUUAUUAAAUUAGUAUAUGUUUAUAUGUUUUUUCAGAAGUUUAUCUAUCUGAAGCAGAUUUGAAGAAUCGUUGCUUGCAAAAGAUUGAAACCUUUUUAAAAGGUUGUGGAAGGAGUUUUCAAGAUUUUUCAACAAUGCCAUUACCUGUCUAUAAUGAGGAUGAGGUCGAUUAUAGCAACAGAUUAAUUCGAGAUGAAAUGCGUUACAAUAAAGGUGCUUUAACUGAUGAACAUCAAGAAUUGCUACAAAAUUUAACUGAUGAACAUAAAGCAGUUUACAAAAAGAUUAUGUCAGCAGUUAUUACAAAUAGUGGUGGAUUUUUCUUUUUAUACGGCUUUGGAGGUACAGGAAAAACUUUUAUUUGGAGGACAUUAUCAGCAGCUAUACGAUCUAAAGGAGAUAUUGUUUUGACAGUAGCUUCUAGCGGGAUUGCAUCUCUAUUGUUGCCUGGUGGUAGAACAUCACAUUCAAGAUUUGUUAUCCCUUUGAAUAUAAAUGAAGAUUCAACAUGUAAUAUAAAGCAAGGUACUCCUUUAGCAAAUUUGAUAGUCAAGGCAAAGUUGAUUAUUUGGGAUGAGGCUCCUAUGAUGCAUAAAUAUUGUUUUGAAGCUUUGGAUAAAACUUUAAGAGAUAUUAUUAGCUAUAAAGAUGCAUCUAAGGCAGAAUUACCAUUUGGAGGAAAAACAGUUGUUCUUGGAGGUGACUUUAGACAAAUUUUACCCGUUAUUCCAAAAGGUACUAGACAAGAUAUUGUUAAUGCAAUUGUAAAUUCAUCAUAUUUAUGGCCACAAUGUCAACUAUUGACUCUAACAAAGAAUGUGAGGUUACAAAGCAAUGCAAACGAUACACAUUUGGAAGAAUUGAGAGAUUUUUCUAAUUGGAUAUUGAAAGUUGGGGAUGGUAGCAUUGGAAGUUCAAUUGAUGGAAUAGACAAAGUUUUAAUACCUAAUGAUCUUCUAAUAAAUGAGUAUAUUGAUCCUAUAGCAUCUAUUGUUGAAAGUAUUUAUCCAGAUUUCAUCACUAAUUGCAAUGAUCCAGAGUACCUUCAACAAAGAGCCAUUCUUGCUCCAACUCUUGAUAUGGUUGAAUCGAUAAAUCAGUAUAUGAUUACUCUUAAUCAUAAUCCUGAGAAAUCAUAUUUAAGUUCUGAUAAAAUUUGCAGGUCUGAUCAUACUUAUUCAGCUUUGGAACAUGUACAUACCCCUGAAUUUUUGAACAAUAUUAAAUGUUCUGGCGUUCCAAAUCAUUCAAUCACUUUAAAGGUUGGGGUUCCAGUGAUGUUACUAAGAAAUAUCGAUCAGUCAGCGGGAUUAUGUAAUGGAACUAGAUUGAUUGUUACUAAACUUGGAAAUCAAGUAAUUGAAGCAAAGGUUUUAUCUGGACAGAUGGUUGGCCGGAAGGUAUUUAUUCCAAGAAUGACUUUAACACCUUCAGAUUAUAGAAUUCCUUUUAAGUUUCAAAGAAGACAGUUUCCUAUAACUGUAUCAUUUGCUAUGACAAUCAAUAAGAGUCAAGGACAGUCUUUAUCUCAUGUGGGCUUAUUUCUGAAGAAGCCAGUGUUUACGCAUGGACAUUUAUAUGUUGCUCUUUCCAAAGUGACAAAUAGAAAGGGAUUAAAAAUACUUACUUACGAUGAAGAUGGGCAAAUAAGUAAUGAAGCCACAAAUGUAGUAUAUAAAGAAGUACUCCAAGACUUAUUUGACAUACAUUGUAUUUUUUAACUUUUAUAUAUAUACUACAAUUUUUGUUGUGUAUGUUACAAUAACUUUUAUAUUAACUGUUAUAUAUGUUUUAGGUUUCAUUAAUAAUGUAAUUUAACUUAGUAAGUUAACAUUAAGUAGGUACACAUUAAUAAAAAAAGACAAAGAAAGUCCAAAUUACUUUGAAAUAUGCAAUAGUCGAUAUGUACUAACCUUAAUUAGCUAAUUAUAAUCACUGCUAUUUUCCAUCGAUACACUAGCAGAAAAAAAAUCUUCCCAUUAUCAACUUCUCCGCCAUCUACAAUACACUUAUUAAAAAGCAAAUAUGAAAAUAUAUUAGGCAAUUUUUUUCAGUUAGAAUGCAUUAAGACAGAAAUUGUAUUAUGAAACAUUGCUCAAAAUAGUUGUAUAUAUAUAAAUUAUCAUAAACUACACAAAUCUAUAUAUUAAUACUACUAUUAAACAUUAAUAAUAAAUACAACUUCAUAGUUAUCAGAUAGUUUUAAAUACGAGUACAGAUAGAUUAUAAGACUUCACACAUUUACAAUCUUUACUAUUUUUUUAACUUUACUCAUUUAUCUAAAAAGUAAAAGUCACAAGUUCCUAUAUUUUAAGGUCAUUUUAAACAAAUUAUGAUUUGGAAACCAAGAAAAUGAUAACUUUUUCUUAUAAUAUAUAAUAAACUGUGUCUUGAAAAUUCACAUUAAAAAUUUUCAAGUACAAUUUACUCCGGCUUGCUUGGAAAACUGUAACUCAGAUUAUAUAUACAAAAUCUCUGAAUCACCAAACAAGAUACCAAAAUCUUUAUCAACAUAAGCUUAUUAUAGCUUUGCAAUAACAUGCAUUUACUACUUUAUAAUUUAAAUUAAAGUUAAACUAUUAGCCGUAUCUGACCAUCCCAAAUAGAUAUGAAGGAGACAUAACCUGAUAAAUCUCAUUAAAAUUAAUCCAAAACAAGAACUACUUCAUGCUAAUAUAUUCUUCAAUUGAAGUUUUCAUUAUGAAGGAUCAAUAUAAAAAAAUGUCAAAAAUUUAACUCACCAUUUCACAGUACAUUGAAUUUUUGUCGGAACGAUACUAGAUCUGAAAACAACUCCUAUCAAAUGUUUUAUGCAAUAUAUAUUAAUCUUAACCUGCUUGAAGAAAGUCAUUUUUAUGCUAUGUUAUCAUUUGCAUGUUCAAAUGUUGAAAUUCUAAAAUUAACUUUACCAUAUAUUUGCAGAAGACAUUCAUAGUAGAAAAGACAAUAGAAGAUUUACUAAAGAGAUGAAAGAAAUAGCACUCACAACAUUGACAAAUCACUCAGAAACUUAGCGAAGAUCCACACUCGGAAGAGGUACCUCACCUUUCAAAUCUGGAAAAUUUUGUUCAUAUUUUGGUCUCUUUCCAGAGAGAUCCAUUUUGUUUGUUUUUUACGUUUUUCCCUUUUUACUUUCCAAUUACUUUUGGAUUUUGGUGGGUUGUCCAAAAGUCUAUUUGAUUUUACUUUUUUCCAAUUCACUUAGAUUGACCAUAUUUUAAUAAAACUAAUAAAUACAUAUACA
rnacentral:lncRNA from 1 species